ACUCCCUUAGCUCAAUUGGUAGAGCGUUAGACCGUUAAGAUCUAAAGGUUCCGUGUUCAACGGAAGGGAGCA
rnacentral:tRNA from 1 species